UUUAUUGACAUCAUUGAGGAAUUCUUUUCUUUUAGCCCUUCAUAGAUGAUAAAAACAUAACUUUAUAACAUAAAAUUAAAUCAUAUACUCCUAUAAUGGAGCUUACAUCCCAAUUUAUGGAAAAGAUUAAAACUUUACAAAAAAAAAAUUGAAAACCUAUGCUCCUUUAAUGGAGCUUACAACAUAAUCUAUGAAGAAUAAAGAAAACAAUUAUCUCAUUGAAUCAUCACAUGCAAUAAUAAAAAAGAAACUUACAUGCAUCCUUCAGUCAUUGAAU
rnacentral:lncRNA from 1 species